CUGAGUUAAAUUCUACUGCACUUAACGGCAGCAACAUCUACGGUCAUAAAUUUUUGGCACCAACUGCUCAACAAAAAAUCUUCGAUCUUAAUUUUAUAGAAAAGAAAAAAUCUAAAGCUAAUAAGGAUACAGGCCCAUUUAAGAACAUUAGGCCCAAUAAACGACGGAGCCUUCUAGGUCCCGUACUUUGUCUACUCACCAUCCCGAAAAGUCACAAUCCUGAGUUACUCACAGACCAAACACACACACAACAUUACAUUUGAACCACUAAAUCACACUUAUCUAUCACACAAUGGCGACCUCUCUCUCCGUCUCCAGACUCAUCUCUUCAUCCGCCAUCUCCGUCGCCAAACCGCUACUCUCCCCAACCUCCGCCUUCACCGCCCCAAUCUCCUUCUCCCGCUCCCUCGCUCCCAACCUCUCCUUCAAAUCCCACAGCAGACCCAAAAGUCAUUGACUUUCGGAAAUGACGUUAGGUUGUUGGGUAGCCGAUACAUACUUGGUAUAAUUGCUUCCUUAGAAAUCAGCUAUGCAUAUCUCAUAUUCAUUUCUUUAAAUCAGAUGCUGCAUCAUAUUCUGAAUCGAAAUUCUCAAUUCUAAUUAUAAUCAAACUAGUAAUCAAUAGAGAGCAUACAAAACUCUUCAAAAAAAUUAUAACGUAUCAACAACACACAUUCCCCCAUAUAGUAAUUUGAGAGGAUACAGAAAUAAAAGUAAACACAAUCGCUUGUGUUUACUUUGCAACCAAAGUUUCACUACAAAAUCACCUGCUAGCUCUGUGUAUGUUAGGUAUCGUGAUGCACGUAAAAUCGCAUGGUAAAGUCACAAUCCUGAGUUACUCACAGACCAAACACACACACAACAUUACAUUUGAACCACUAAAUCACACUUAUCUAUCACACAAUGGCGACCUCUCUCUCCGUCUCCAGACUCAUCUCUUCAUCCGCCAUCUCCGUCGCCAAACCGCUACUCUCCCCAACCUCCGCCUUCACCGCCCCAAUCUCCUUCUCCCGCUCCCUCGCUCCCAACCUCUCCUUCAAAUCCCACAGCCGCCGCUCCUCCAUCUCCGCCGUCAGAUCCUUCUCAACAACCACCAUCUCCGCCUCCAUCUCCGUCGGAGACAAACUCCCCGACUCUACCCUCUCCUACCUCGAUCCCGCCACCAACGAUGUCAAAACAGUCACCGUCUCCUCCCUAACCGCCGGGAAGAAAACCAUCCUCUUCGCCGUCCCGGGCGCCUUCACUCCGACCUGC
rnacentral:lncRNA from 1 species